rnacentral:lncRNA from 1 species
CAGCACCAAUGGGAGACGGACUCGGGCUCAGAGAGGUGUAAACACUGCCCGGCCCAGAUCCCCACAGUGUCCCCUCAAAGGGCUGGUGGUGGUCCUGUGAUCCUACCCCAAGAAGCUUCCAAUAUGGGGAGAGAGACGGUUGGUUCCGCCCUGCAAGGCCAGUCUACCUGGGCACGCGAGCCAGGAGGGAGCCAGCUCCCUAUUCGCUGAGCCUUCUCGCACUGACCCUAAGUUGAUAGGACAGUGUGGCCUGGAGCUCACAGGCUCUGCUUGGCUCCCUUGGAUGCCCACUUUUAUAAUUUGGACUGGUGAACCACCACCCACCCUGCCCUCGGCUGUGUACAGUGACUCUUAAACUGUCCUGCAGGUUUGGAUUAGGGCUGCUAUUCACCCAGGUAGGCAGGGAGGUGAAGGAGCUUCUGGGCCUCAUCUAGCCAGGAUGGUUCCAAAUGUUGCUUUCUGGAUCGACUUAUUUCGUCCCCUUCCAAGAGGCUGAGCAAGAGACUGAGCUGUCUGGUUGGAACCCUGAAAGUCUCAGGAGGACUAGGAGCCAGGAGGGCAGAAGGCCAUAGCUCCUGUGGCCUGGGCAUCCCAGCAGGAGAGCCUCAGCACACCUGGCACCUGGGUUCCUCACUGGUUGCUGGCAGGAUCCCUGUUUAAACCCAACCCCUGUGGCUUCUUCUUUCCUUGCUUUUGACUCACUGAUUGGCAAACACCAAUGUUCUAGGACCCUCCUCACUUGGGGGCCUUAUUUCGGCCUUCCCAUCUCAGCUCUGGCCUCUACAGCUUCCCUUAGGUAGUACUCUGAGCUUGCCCACACUGCCCCUGUUUCUCAUGCUUCUUCUUUUUUUUUUUUUUAAACAUUUAUUUUUUAGUUGUAGUUGGACACAAUACCCUUAUUUUAUUCAUAUAUUUUUACGUGGUGCCGAGGAUCGAACCCAGGUUCUCGCACAUGCGAGUGCUCUACCGCUGAGCCGCAACCCCAGCCCUCUCAUGCCUCUUUCAGCCUGUCCAGGCCUGCACCCCCCAGCUCACAGCCUUCCCAUCUCACUCCACAGGCUACCUCAGGCAUUCCAUCUGACCCCCAUCCAUCCUUUCUCCUCACCUCUCCUGCUUCCCCAUCCAACCUCAGCCCCAGAAGCUGGUAGUUCAGCCCUCCCUACUUCUGAAUUCCCCACCCCAGAUCCAUGGACCCUGUGAAGGGGGUCUUUUCUUUCCAGACCUUAGGCAUUUGGGGGAGGGGCUGCUUUCUCCCUGACUGCUCUCUGCCCAGGUUUGGGUGGGUAAGGCAGUUUUCUCCCCUCCCCUCCUGCUCUUCUCUCCUUUCCUCCCCUCCCCUCCUCCCUCCUCGGCUCUUCUCCCCUCCCCACUCUCUUCUCCCCUCCCCUCCCCUCUUUUUUCCCCUCUCUUCUUACAAGCUCUCUCCCCCUUUUGCAGUACCAGACAUUGAACCCCUGAACCCAGGGGCACUCUACCACUGAACUACACCCUCAGCCCUUUAAUUUUGAGACAGGGUCUUGCUAAGCUGCCCAUUGGAUUUGCCAUCUUCCUGCCUCAGCCUCCCAAGAUGGAGCCAGCUUUCUUCUGGUUGCUGUCGGGAGCCGCUCCGGAAAUACAUGCCCUUAAGUCCUGAGCAAGAGAUACUGAACAACUAUUGUGCCCUGCAAUAACUUGGGCUUUACCUCCACUCCAGAUAAUGAGGCAUGACUCCAGGAGUAGGGUUAUCCACUGGGGUCAAGUUACACUCACCUGUUCCUUUGUAAUCCUACCCCUUGCCCUUUUGGAUAGAAUGUUCUACAAAACAGCAUCCCCCAAUAAAAGCCAACCCCAGAAUGUGCUCGCUCUCAUCAGCCUCUCCUUUCUCUUGCUCCCCUUG